rnacentral:misc_RNA from 1 species
GAUGAAGAACGUAGCGAAAUGCGAUAAGUAGUGUGAAUUGCAGAAUUCAGUGAAUCAUCGAAUCUUUGAACGCACAUUGCGCCCCUUGGUAUUCCAUGGGGCAUGCCUGUUCGAGCGUCAUCUACAACCCUCAAGCCCUGCUUGGUGUUGGGCGUCUGUCCCGCCCCCGCGCGCGGACUCGCCCCAAAUCCAUUGGCGGCGGCCCUUGCCUCCCUCUCGCGCAGCACAUUGCGCUUCUCGAGGCGUCGCGGGCCGCGCUCCACGAAGCACGCAAACCAGUCUUUGACCUCGGAUCAGGUAGGGAUACCCGCUGAACUUAAGCAUAUCAUAAGCGGAGGA